rnacentral:misc_RNA from 1 species
GAUGAAGAACGUAGCGAAAUGCGAUACGUAAUGUGAAUUGCAAAUUCAGUGAAUCAUCGAGUCUUUGAACGCACAUUGCGCCCCCUGGUAUUCCGGGGGGCAUGCCUGUCCGAGCGUCAUUGCUGCCCUCAAGCACGGCUUGUGUGUUGGGCCCCGUCCUCCGAUCCCGGGGGACGGGCCCGAAAGGCAGCGGCGGCACCGCGUCCGGUCCUCGAGCGUAUGGGGCUUUGUCACCCGCCCUGUAGGCCCGGCCGGCGCUUGCCGAUCAACCCAAAUUUUUAUCCAGGUUGACCUCGUAUCAGGUAGGGAUACCCGCUGAACUUAAGCAUAUCAAUAAGCGGAGGA